GAUGAACGCUGGCGGCGUGCCUAAUACAUGCAAGUCGAGCGAACAGACGAGGAGCUUGCUCCUCUGACGUUAGCGGCGGACGGGUGAGUAACACGUGGAUAACCUACCUAUAAGACUGGGAUAACUUCGGGAAAGCGGAGCUAAUACCGGAUAAUAUAUUGAACCGCAUGGUUCAAUAGUGAAAGACGGUUUUGCUGUCACUUAUAGAUGGAUCCGCGCCGCAUUAGCUAGUUGGUAAGGUAACGGCUUACCAAGGCAACGAUGCGUAGCCGACCUGAGAGGGUGAUCGGCCACACUGGAACUGAGACACGGUCCAGACUCCUACGGGAGGCCGCAGUAGGGAAUCUUCCGCAAUGGGCGAAAGCCUGACGGAGCAACGCCGCGCGAGUGAUGAAGGUCUUCGGAUCGUAAAACUCUGUUAUUAGGGAAGAACAAAUGUGUAAGUAACUAUGAACGUCUUGACGGUACCUAAUCAGAAAGCCACGGCUAACUACGUG
rnacentral:rRNA from 1 species